UACGUAGGGGGCAAGCGUUGUCCGGAAUCAUUGGGCGUAAAGAGCGUGUAGGCGGCUCGGUAAGUCCGCUCUGAAAGCCCGGGGCUCAACCCCGGGAGGCGGGCGGAGACUGUCGGGCUAGAGUCCGGAAGAGGCGAGUGGAAUUCCUGGUGUAGCGGUGAAAUGCGCAGAUAUCAGGAGGAACACCAAUGGCGAAGGCAGCUCGCUGGGACGGUACUGACGCUGAGACGCGAAAGCGUGGGGAGCAAACAGG
rnacentral:rRNA from 1 species